GGCUGGUCCGAAGGUAGUGAGUUAUCUCACUUGAUUGUUCACAGUCAGUUACAGAUUGAACUCCUUGUUCUGCUACUUUCUCCCCUCCUCACUACUGCACUUGACUAGUCUAAA
rnacentral:Y_RNA from 1 species